GGAAGCUGAGGCUUAAAGAGAGGAAGAGACUUGCUCAAGAUCUCACAAGCAAAGAAGGGAAGAGAAAGAACCAGAGAGAUGUUUAACUUAUCUGCCAACCUGAUUUGGAUACUUUCUAAUGUCCCUUGAGUCCAAGGGAAAAAAAAAAAGAGAUCUCUGAGGAAAAAAGAUCCUGCUCCCAAGACAAAGACCUGCAGUGGUCUGCAACUGGGCAAGAUACAAACAGACAGCCAUUUCCGCCAGAUCUGAUUGUCAGCUCCUUGACAACUGGUAUCACAUGGAUAUCCUCCAGUUGGGCUCCCUCAUUCAAAGCCUGGCUCUACAUUCACAAGCUGUAUUAUGUUGAGAAGUUACAAUCGAAGUAGAACCUGUUUCACCAUCUGUUAAAGGGGGGAAAUACUACCAUCUACAUCAUGGGGUGGUAGCCAGAAUCAAAUAAAAUGAUAGAUGAGAA
rnacentral:lncRNA from 1 species